rnacentral:rRNA from 1 species
UGGUGGAGUGAUUUGUCUGGUUAAUUCCGUUAACGAACGAGACCCCUGCCUGCUAAAUAGUCCGGUGAGUGAAUUUCACUGAUUAGGACUCCUUAGAGGGACGUGCAUUCUAUUAGAUGCAGGAAGAUAGGGGCAAUAACA